rnacentral:rRNA from 1 species
GACGGAGGGUGCUAGCGUUGUUCGGAAUGACUGGGCGUAAAGGGCGCGUAGGCGGCCGCUUGCGUCGGAUGUGAAAGCCCGGGGCUCAACCCCGGAACUGCAUCCGAUACGGGGCGGCUCGAGACCGAGAGAGGUGAGUGGAAUACCCAGUGUAGAGGUGAAAUUCGUAGAUAUUGGGUGGAACACCGGUGGCGAAGGCGGCCAUCUGGACGGAUACUGACGCUGAGACGCGAAAGCGUGGGUAGCAAACAGG